rnacentral:rRNA from 1 species
GAUGAACGCUGGCGGCGUGCCUAAUACAUGCAAGUCGAGCGAACGGACGAGAAGCUUGCUUUUCUGAUGUUAGCGGCGGACGGGUGAGUAACACGUGGAUAACCUACCUAUAAGACUGGGAUAACUUCGGGAAACCGGAGCUAAUACCGGAUAAUAUUUUGAACCGCAUGGUUCAAAAGUGAAAGACGGUCUUGCUGUCACGUAUAGAUGGAUCCGCGCUGCAUUAGCUAGUUGGUAAGGUAACGGCUUACCAAGGCAACGAUGCAUAGCCGACCUGAGAGGGUGAUCGGCCACACUGGAACUGAGACACGGUCCAGACUCCUACGGGAGGCAGCAGUAGGGAAUCUUCCGCAAUGGGCGAAAGCCUGACGGAGCAACGCCGAGUGAGUGAUGAAGGUCUUCGGAUCGUAAAACUCUGUUAUUAGGGAAGAACAUAUGUGUAAGUAACUGUGCACAUCUUGACGGUACCUAAUCAGAAAGCCACGGCUAACUACGUG